rnacentral:misc_RNA from 1 species
UCUCCGUAGGUGAACCUGCGGAGGGAUCAUUACCGAGUGAGGGUUCCGGCCCGACCUCCAACCCUUUGUGAACACAACUUGUUGCUUCGGGGGCGACCCUGCCGUUUCGACGGCGAGCGCCCCCGGAGGCUCAUCAAACACUGCAUCUCUGCGUCGGAGUUAAAGUAAAUUAAACAAAACUUUCAACAACGGAUCUCUUGGUUCCAGCAUCGAUGAAGAACGCAGC